rnacentral:rRNA from 1 species
GUGUCAGCAGCCGCGGUAAUACGGAGGGUGCGAGCGUUGUCCGGAUUUAUUGGGUUUAAAGGGUGCGUAGGCGGCCCGUUAAGUCCGGGGUGAAAGCCCGUUGCUCAACAACGGAACUGCCCUGGAUACUGGCGGGCUUGAGACUAGUGGAGGUUGGCGGAAUGGACCGAGUAGCGGUGAAAUGCAUAGAUACGGUCCAGAACCCCGAUUGCGAAGGCAGCUGACUACACUAGGACUGACGCUGAGGCACGACAGCGUGGGGAGCGAACAGGAUUAGAUACCCUGGUAGUCCACGCCGUAAACGAUGGAUACUCGCUGCGGGCUAAAGAUUGUCCGUGGCUUAGGGAAACCGAUAAGUAUCCCACCUGGGGAGUACGCCGGCAACGGUGAA